rnacentral:lncRNA from 1 species
CGUUUUCGAUGAACUCAAGCUUGUCAUAAAGAUGACCAUAAGCUCUAAGACUCACAAAUGAAACCAAACAAGAACCAAGAAAGAUGAUGCAAGGAUGGAAUGGUUUGAGCUCUCGACUAAUGAUACGAUCAAGCUACUGCCUAGAGAGCCCCCCUUGAUAGUACGACAAUCGAUCCUACAACCCGGUCUCCCAACUACCACCAUGAGACCGGUAAAAUAGAAAACCUAUCAAGGGCAAACCUUUGCCUUGCACAUAGUCCACUUGAGCUAGAUGAUGACGAUCUUGACUUACUCAAGUUGGACCACCUUUCUUGAUUGUGUUGGCUCGAUGAAGACUAGUUGAUUGCUCCCCCAUACUCCACUAUGGGUGAGCCACUCUUUGGCAUAUAUUCACAAUUACAUUGACACCACAAUGGACAGCAAGCUUCAAGCUUGAUUGCUCCCCCAUAAUCCAUUAUGGGUGAGCCACUCUUCGAGUUGCUCCACUUGAACUUGCACACUGCAAACUUGAUGACGAUCACCACUUGAUGUCAUCCUCCAUGGGUUGUAUGAGAUCUUCCUCUUGACGCAAAACCAUGGAAACAUACCUAACCCCACAAAGAACUCUCACGUAGACCAUGGGUUAGUACACAAAGCGUAAUGGACAAUGCUUACCGUACCAUGGGAUCACUUGAUCCCUCUCGGUACUUCUUCUACGCUUUGUGAGUUGAUCAACUUGAUUCACUCUUGACUUAGUCUUGAUCAACAUUGAAUCUUUCCAACUCUCAUUUGGAUGAUGUCUUGAAGGUAACCAUGAAUGAUCACACAAUCUUCUUCUUCAAGACAUGCUUGCAAUAAGCUCAACUCACACAUGACCAAUCUUUGGAUAAUUCCUUGAAAAGCACUUUGGCAAUCUCAACUCACACAUGACCAAUCUUUGGAUAAUUCCUUGAAAAGCACUUUGCUCAUCUCAUAAACUCCUUGAAACCAACACAUGGACUUCAAGACAAUCCUAUGGACAAAUCCUUCAAAUAUAACUCAAGGCAACCGUUAGUCCAUAGAGAUUGUCAUUAAUUACCAAAACCACACAUGGGGGCACGACAUGUCCUUUCACACCGAGCAUGGCAAAUUGUAUAAAUAAAAUAAGUAGUAUAAGAAACCAAAACACAAAAGUAAAGCAUGCAGGCAAUACCCAGUUAGUCACCAGAAUAAAACAAUAAGUAAUCAACAGAAACAAAAGAAGAAAAACUAAAAACACAUAUGCAUAGAACACUAACCUUAAUAGCAAGACGGGGAACCACCGAGGUAACAGAGCGGCAGACGACAAAGAAAGUGAAGGGAACCACAACAUGACCUAUAAAACAAAAGGAACCAGGGACCUACAUGAGAGGCAGGUCCAAAGAGCAAGCACAAACCUCGCUAGGAAAUAGAGCAGCUGAGAAGCUGAGCAAAGGAUACAAAAAACAAAAAGAACAAAGUCAUCAUGCUUCAGAUAAGCACAUAGAUGACGAUAUGAAUAAACGGCCAAAAAAGGACCUACUGGACACUGAAAUAAUGGCUCAUUUUAUUGGAGUGUCCACUAAUUUGCAUGUAUUAAUGAGCAACAAGAACCAUUCUGUGGACAUAUAAUAGGAAGUGGUGCUGCAUCGGAUUCUAAAGAACACACUAAAGCAACAGAAAGAGAUGGCCCACUAAAUUCCGAAGCACACAUAUCAAAGGAGCAAGCAUUGGUCUAUGCACACGCAAGCGAUAAUGCCUAUUACACUGGAUUCUGCAGCAAGCAUCAUUAGCAAGACAGGAACAAAAUUUGGGCACAUCCUACUUGUAAGGAUAUGCCCGGAAAGGAUCACGCAACAAGAAAAUCACCAGCACAAGCAUAAGGAAAGACGGCCUAAUGCACAAUGCAACCAUGGAUCAAGUAACUUUCAUAUGCCAAUGAGCUGCAACCAUGGAUCAAUUAACUUGCAUGUGUCAAUGAGCAACAAGAGUAAAUCCGUACAAGUGCAAAUAGCAGGAUGUGGCCUGGUAGAUCACAAAGUACACAUAUAUAAGCAGCAGCAACUGGAUUGCCCUUACACAACAAGGAGCAACAAACAACAAGGAUUGUAGAAGAACGGUCAAAAGCUAUAACCUGCCCAUGCAAGACAGGGUACUGAAAAUCGAGUAAACUGCACAAGCAUGGACCUGAACCUAAAUGAAUAUACGCCUCCGAAAGCAGCAAGCAGGAACAAAAGAACCGAAGCAAUCAUAAGCAAGAAAGGAUGUGCUUUUUUUCAACAAGAUCAAAAGGAUAACCCCACAAGCAGCAGGAUAGGCACACACAACUAAUAAAGCAAUCCAAGGAAAGCACGACUAACCUUGCUAGCCAACAACACAGACGGUCAGCGAACAAGCAAAAGACCUGGACAGGUAACGAAACGAGAAACAAAGCCAUGUCAGUUAACAUGCAUUUCGUCAAACAGGACAUGAGCAAGGAAGAACUCACCUUCUCGAGCAGCAAGGCGAAGGACGAACAACAGAGAGACUGACCCUGCACAAACAACGGAAGGAGGAGACUACCAAUUCAACUACCAUCGGCCACUCUUGCUCUCCAAUUGGACUAUCUGGCACUUGUGUUGAGACACCGAAGUUC